rnacentral:rRNA from 1 species
UACGGGGGGGGCAAGCGUUGUUCGGAAUUACUGGGCGUAAAGGGCGCGUAGGCGGCUUUUCAAGUCGGGCGUGAAAUCUCCGGGCUUAACCCGGAAGGGUCGUUCGAUACUGUUGAGCUAGAGUGUGGAAGAGGCAACUAGAAUUCCGUGUGUAGCGGUGAAAUGCGUAGAUAUACGGAGGAACACCGGUGGCGAAGGCGGCAUCCUGGACCAACACUGACGCUGAGGAGCGAAAGCCAGGGGAGCAAACGGG